rnacentral:rRNA from 1 species
UGAAGCAGAGCAACAGCUCAAAUUUGAAAUCUGGCGUCUCCGGCGUCCGAGUUGUAAUUUGUAGAGGAUGCUUCUGGGUAGCCUCCGGUCUAAGUUCCUUGGAACAGGACGUCAUAGAGGGUGAGAAUCCCGUAUGCGACCGGAAAGGCGCCCUAUACGUAGCUCCUUCGACGAGUCGAGUUGUUUGGGAAUGCAGCUCUAAAUGGGAGGUAAAUUUCUUCUAAAGCUAAAUAUUGGCCAGAGACCGAUAGCGCACAAGUAGAGUGAUCGAAAGAUGAAAAGCACUUUGGAAAGAGAGUUAAAAAGCACGUGAAAUUGUUGAAAGGGAAGGGAUUGCAACCAGACUUGCUCGCGGUGUUCCGCCGGUCUUCUGACCGGUCUACUCGCCGCGUUGCAGGCCAGCAUCGUCUGGGGCCGCUGGAUAAUACUUGAGGAAUGUAGCUCCCUCGGGAGUGUUAUAGCCUCUUGUGAUGCAGCGCGCCCCGGGCGAGGUCCGCGCUUCGGCUAGGAUGCUGGCGUAAUGGUUGUAAUCCGCCCGUCUUGAAACACGGACCAAGGAGUCUAACAUCUAUGCGAGUGUUCGGGUGUCAAACCCCUACGCGUAAUGAAAGUGAACGGAGGUGGGAACCGCAAGGUGCACCAUCGACCGAUCCUGAUGUCUUCGGAUGGAUUUGAGUAAGAGCAUAGCUGUUGGGACCCGAAAGAUGGUGAACUAUGCCUGAAUAGGGUGAAGCCAGAGGAAACUCUGGUGGAGGCUCGCAGCGGUUCUGACGUGCAAAUCGAUCGUCAAAUUUGGG